rnacentral:rRNA from 1 species
AUUGAACGCUGGCGGCAGGCCUAACACAUGCAAGUCGAGCGGAUGAAGGGAGCUUGCUCCUGGAUUCAGCGGCGGACGGGUGAGUAAUGCCUAGGAAUCUGCCUGGUAGUGGGGGAUAACGUCCGGAAACGGGCGCUAAUCCCGCAUCCGUCCUGAGGGAGAAAGUGGGGGAUCUUCGGACCUCACGCUAUCAGCUGAGCCUAGGUCGGAUUAGCUAGUUGGUGGGGUAAAGGCCUACCAAGGCGACGAUCCGUAACUGGUCUGAGAGGAUGAUCAGUCACACUGGAACUGAGACACGGUCCAGACUCCUACGGGAAGCAGCAGUGGGGAAUAUUGGACAAUGGGCGAAAGCCUGAUCGAGCCAUGCCGCGUGUAGGAAGAAGGUCUUCGGAUUGUAAAGCACUUUAAGUUGGGAGGAAGGACAGUAAGUUAAUACCUUGCUGUUUUGACGUUACCAACAGAAUAAGCACCGGCUAACUUCGUG